AAAACCUGAAAUUAUUUUGUAUAAUUCAUUUGUUUUGGAUAUUUUUUUGUUAUCUAUUAGGCUUAACUAAUGUAGCAGUUUGGUAUAAGUAUUGUACAGGAAUAAUGUUUUUUGAUAUUAUACAUGAUUUUAUUGUUAAUUAUAUCUCAACCAAUUUUAAUUUCCUCAUAUUUAAUUUUCAUGAUAUAUUGUUCAAUCAAAAUAUGGUUUUACAAUUUAUAGGAGAACAUUUUUAAUGCUAAAAUAUAACAUUAAAUUAUUAUUUUUUUACUUUUACAUUCAAACAGUUGUUAAAUUAAAUCUAAAAUGCCUUUAAAACAAACGAAUGAGUUUAUAUGUAGAUCCAGUAUCGCUGCAGUUUGCCUUCACAGUUCGUUAGUUUAAAGUGGUGAAAAGGAAGUGAAACUCACAGAUGACAAAGUCUUUCACUGGAUACAGAUGUUACAUUUUUUCAAUAGAAAAGUUAUUUACUGCCACAGAUAUUAAAAAUUAAUCCAUGUUUUAAUUCUUUAAUUCUUCUCUGCUCUCCCCUCCAGCUGGCCCCAUGCUCAGGCCCUCAGUCUCUCUGCUUCCCCCCUCCUCUGAGCGGCUCUCUGGGGCCUCGGCCACGCUGGUCUGCCUGCUGAGCGGCUACUCUCCUCAGGGAGCCGUGGUGAGCUGGGAGGUGGACGCUACAGAGGUGACAGAGGGGGUCCUGAGCAGCUCCGAGGAGGAGAAGAGCGGACGCUACAGCAGCAGCAGCACCCUGAGCCUGAGCCAGGAGCGCUGGAUGGAAGGAGAGCUGUUCUCCUGCAGGGUCCUCCAUCAUGGCCACAGCCAGACCCGCUCCCUCCGCAGGAGCCAGUGUGAGGGCUAGAGGGGCUGGCUGAAGCCCAGGACAGCAGCUCUGUGUGUGGGGAGCAGGAGGAACACACCUGCUGCUCUCAUCAAUAGGAGUUUGAAUGUUUGUAGAGGAAACUAAAGCUUUGUGUGGCAGAGAACAACAGCUGUAAAGUGUUGGACAACAACAACUUAGAGAGUAAUGUGAGGAGCUCAGCAGCUAGAUGUGACUGUGCUUCAUGACUGUCAUGUUGAUGACUCGUGUUUUUGCUAAUAAAGCUUUCACUGAAUAAUAA